rnacentral:rRNA from 1 species
UGAGGAAUAUUGCGCAAUGGCCGAAAGGCUGACGCAGCGACGCCGCGUGAGGGAUGAAGUCCGUUAGGAUGUAAACCUCUUUUGCAGGGGAUGAAUGUUCCCGAUUUAUCGGGACUUGACCGUACUCUGCGAAUAAGGAUCGGCCAACUACGUGCCAGCAGCCGCGGUAAUACGUAGGAUCCGAGCGUUGUCCGGAAUUACUGGGUGUAAAGGGCGUGUAGGUGGGCUUCUAAGUCGGUGGUGAAAUCCUGCAGCUUAACUGCAGAACUGCCUCCGAUACUGGGAGUCUUGAGUACGGCAGAGGGAGAUGGAAUUCAUGGUGUAGCGGUGAAAUGUGUAGAUAUCAUGAAGAACACCGGUAGCGAAGGCGGUCUCCUGGUCCGUUACUGACACUGAGGCGCGAAAGCGUGGGGAGCAAACAGG